AUUGAACGCUGGCGGCAGGCCUAACACAUGCAAGUCGAGCGAGCGGCGGACGGGUGAGUAAUGUCUGGGGAACUGCCCGAUGGAGGGGGAUAACUACUGGAAACGGUGGCUAAUACCGCAUACCCUCGGAUGAGCCCAUAUGGGAUUAGCUGGUAGGUGGGGUAAUGGCUAACCUAGGCGACGAUCCCUAGCUGGUCUGAGAGGAUGACCAGCCACACUGGAACUGAGACACGGCCCAGACUCCUACGGGAGGCAGCAGUGGGGAAUAUUGCACAAUGGGCGCAAGCCUGAUGCAGCCAUGCAGCGUGUGUGAAGAAGGCCUUAGGGUUGUAAAGUACUUUCAGUCGGGAGGCGUUACCCGCAGAAGAAGCACCGGCUAACUCCGUGCCAGCCGCCGCGGUAAUUC
rnacentral:rRNA from 1 species